AGUUGGGGUGCGAGUGUGCACACGCCCCGCGGUAGGAGGCGGGCCCACGCGGGUAGGUUUCCUCUGGCCCUCCUCUUACCCCCGCUGCAAACUUUAACUCAGGACCGGGGAGAAGCUGGAUAGGCUGACUUGCUGCUACAGUGUUUACUCUGGCGAAAGCGCCAGUCAUUCGGACAGCCACUCCUCCUGGCCGGGGUGCUCCCGCUGGUGGCCCGGCAGAGGGCGCCAGCUCCCGAUCGCUGCGCGGGCCGGCGGAGGGGAGGGGACUUGUUCGAGCCUUCAGGUAAGGAGCGUAGUGAAUCAUCCCGAGGCGGGGGACCCGAUCCUCGCUCGGUGAAAGGAGGGAGGGAGUGGCCGUGGCGCUUUUAAGAAGCUUGGGCUGCGGAGCCACUGUCCGUCGAGAAGCGGUGAUUCUGCCACCCGGAGGACUGGGGAAGGCUCAGGGAGGCUAGGAAUUUGAUGAUGACUGACGCUGCUUCCUGAACCAGUCCACUAACACCAGUGGCCUUCGAUGCUCCGUGGAUGCGUCAGGAAGGUGCUUGGCAGCUACUGGGUACCGAACGGAUCUGCAACAGUCUUAGCACCUUGCCUCAAGAGAAAGUUGGAGUAGAUGAUCUUGAAGACUCAGAGAGCUAUGAAGAUUGUGAAGUCAUUCUACAUGUGAAGCUAUGAUUUAAAUAUCAGCAGUACAUCUUUGAGCGCAGGAUCUGCUUUGCUGGCGAUCAUUGCCCACGGAGAAAGCUGUCAUGAACAUGCCCCGGCUCAGCAACAACCCCCCCAGCUCCCCAUUGGUCAGCAAAUGCUGACUCUAGGUAAGGUCCUGGGUACCAGUUAAUGUACAUUUGUAGAACACUGGACAUGCUGGGGAUGACAGGUUGCUGGAUUUUUCUUGAGUUUUCAUACUAAUUAGUUUUGUGAGGUUGCUGGGUUUUUAAAAAAUUUUUUUAAAUGUUUAUUUAUUUUUGAGAGAGAGAGGGAGAGAGAGAGCUAGCAGGGGAAGGGCAGAGAGAGAGAGCAAGACACAGAAUCUGAAGCAGGCUCCACGCUCUAGGCUGUCAGCACAGAGCCCAAUGUAGGGCUUGAACCCACAAACUCAGAUCAUGACCUGAUCCGAAGUUGAGGCUCAAACCCACGAAUUCAGAUCAUGACCUGAGCUGAAGUCAGAUGCUUACCCAGCUGAACCCCUGCUGUUGUUUUUAUGAAGAUGUCCUUCUAAGGACAAGGAAGCCCCAAAUUAUUUAAUUCAAAGCUCUUGCCUUCAAAUCACUCAAGAAUAGCUGUAGAACAGCUACAAUCUAUCAGGUACCAACAGGAAUAUUCUACAUUAUGCAGUUACUUGUCUACCGUCUGGAGUUUUAGACCCAUAAAAAAUUCUCAUAUCUGAUGAUUCAGUGUUUCCUUACUUUCUGUUCAUGUUAAAACCAUCAGACAGUGAGUAUUGAAUGCCUGGCAUCGGCAGAAGGCUUCUCUGAGCUCCCUGGAUAACUGUAACCUUGCCAGCCCCCUUCCCCUCAGCUGGGGCUCAGCCCUCAGUGAGCCAGGUGGGGCUUGGGCCCCUGCAGCCGUCACGAAACCGGAUUCCGCACCUCAUGUUCUAGGAUACGGUUUCCGAUUUCACACUAAAUACCUAAAUGUAUACUCAUUUGCCGGAUCAUUGUUGAAGGGCCUCUUGUGUAUUGGUGCAUUGAACAGGUCAGAAAUGUCCUUGGCAUCUCCCUGACCUGGAAGGGAAUAGUGGGCCACAUGCAAGUCAGCCUCCGCCUUUGGUCCAGUGUCCUCAGGAGAGCCGUGCCCUGAACCCCAGAACAUGCCUGUAAUGUGCGUCACUUUGUGCUUUUCUCCUAGUGUUCUGUCCCCAUGGCCCCUGUACGUCAGCUCCUGGUAACCACCAUGCUACCUUCUGCUGCUGCGAAUCUGGCUACUCUGCUUGUUGAUAAGUAGGAAAUCUUGCAAUAUGUGUCCUUUGUGUCUGGGUUCGUCAUUGAAUAUAAUGUCUUCACGGUCCAUCUGUAUUGUCGCACACGUCAGGAUGUCAUUCUUAAGGCUGAGCAAUCUCCCAUUGUAGGUAUAUUACGGUGUACAUUUUCAACAUGGAACUGACCUUUGUUUUUUCCCUUGCUCUGAGAAUCAGUUGACCGUCCUCUCUUCCUGUAAGCCACCUGGGAUAUUUUCCCCAAGAAUUAUUAGCUACAGAUUCAAAAUCGGCCAGAAGUGAAAAUGAUUAUGAUCAGAGAUCAUUUUUACUUCAAAGGUUAACAUUCCUCUUCUGAACAUUUCAAGUCACGAAUAAGUCAUCACGGGUUUGCUGUAAGCCUUUUCUCUAAAAACGAGUUCUGUAACAUAGCAAGACUGACAUGGUUUAAUAUAUCUGAAACAGAAAUCUCUGUGAGAUGUAAUAUUUCUUACCAUUGAAAGUUAUUUUCCCUUUUCAUGUCUGCAUACUUGGCUUGUUUAAAAUGACAUUACGCAGUCAUAUAACCCAAAAUUUUAUUUGAGACUUAGCCUAAAUAUUACCGCCUAACUAGAAUUCGCAAAGCAUUUUGCAAUGCACACAGGAGGGGAAUUUCACUAAAAUGAGGAAUCUGGAAUGUAUGAAUAAACCAGUAUGUGAUAAAAGGGAAAUGAAAAGGACUUAAAUGAGCUUCCCACUGGCGGGAUUACCUCAUGUCAGGCAAUUCUGCCCCAGAUUAAGAGUCUGCACACAUAAAUAAAAUCCACCGCAGAAAAUGUGAAUACCAUUUACAGCUGCUUCUAGCACACAAAAUACUGCUUUCCUAGGCUAUAAAAAUAUACCCUUCACUUUGGAAUUUUAGUCCAGGCAUCGCCUUUUGUAGCUUAGAGUAGAUUUCAUGAAAAUCAUUCUGCUACACUUCUUAAAAGGUUAG
rnacentral:lncRNA from 1 species